CCCGGCUGGCCUGACUCAAGCGGAGGUGCGUGGAGCAGUUGCCGGGGCGAUUCCCGCCCAGGCUCCUCUGACUGGCGGGCGGCAGCCUCACCAUGUCCCAGCCCCGGGCCCCAGAGCAGGUGCUGGACACGCUGGGGGACUGCUCCCCUGGCAGGAGGGACGAGGACACCGGGGAGGGGAUCCAGUGCUCCCAACGCAUGCUCAGCUUCAGCGACGCCCUGCUGUCCAUCAUCGCCACUGUCAUGAUCCUGCCUGUGACACACACGGAGAUCUCCCCGGAACAGUUCGACAGAAGUGUACAGAGGCUUCUGGCAACACGGAUCGCCAUCUACCUGAUGACCUUUCUCAUCGUAACGGUGGCCUGGGCGGUACACACAAGGUUGUUCCAAGUUGUUGGGAAAAUAGACGACACACUUGCCCUGCUCAACCUGGCCUGCAUGAUGACCAUCACCUUCCUGCCUUAUACGUUUUCCUUAAUGGUGACCUUCCCCGAUGUGCCCCUGGGCAUCUUCAUGUUCUGUGUGUGUGUGAUCGCCAUCGGGAUCGUGCAGGCACGGAUUGUGGGGUACGCAUUCCACUUCCCGCACCUGCUGAGCCCGCAGAUCCAGCGCUCCGCCCACAGGACCCUGUACCGAAGACACAUCCUGGGCAUCGUCCUCCGAGGCUCAGCCCUCUGCUUCAUGGCAGCCAUCUUCUCCCUCUUCUUUGUCCCCUUGGCCACAGGGAGCCCUCGGCUUACCCAGUGGAAGUCUUCACAUUUGACCUUCAUGAGCCGCUCAGCAAGGAGCGGGUGGAAGCCUUCAGCGACGGCGUCUACGCCAUCGUGGCCACUCUUCUCAUCCUGGACAUCUGUGAGGACAACGUCCAGGACCCCAAGGACGUGAAGGAGUGGUUCGGCUGCAGCCUCGUGGCUGCGCUGAGCGUGUUCGGGCCGUGCAUCCUGGCGUACUUCGGUUCCUUUGCCACUGUGGCACUGCUGUGGUUCGCCCACCACUCGCUCUUCCUGCACGUGCGCAAGGCCACACAGGCCAUGGGGCUGCUCAACACGUUCUCGCUGGCCUUUGUGGGUGGCCUCCCACUGGCCUACCAGCAGACCUCAGCCUUCGCCCGGCAGCCCCGAGCGUGUCUGCCUCAGCUGCGCCAUCAUCUUCCUGGCCAGCAUCUUCCAGCUCGCCAUCUGGACCACGGCGCUGCUGCACCAGGCAGACACGCUGCAGCCCUCCGUGUGGUUCAGCGGCCGGGAUCAUGUGCUCAUGUUCGCCAAGCUGGCCCUGUACCCCUGCGCCAGCCUGCUGGCCUUCGCCUCCACCUGCCUGCUGAGCAGGUUCAGCGCGGGCAUCUUCCACCACACAGAUCGCCGUGCCCUGCGCCUUCCUGCUGCUGCGCCUGCUCGUGGGCAUGGCCCUGACCAGCCUGCAGGUCCUGCGGGGCCUUGCCCAGCCCCAACAUUCCCCGCUGGUCCCCACGUGCCAGCACGACCCACAGGCCCAGCUCCUCCCUUCCCCCUGCUAGCAGCCACAAGGCCCACUCCCAGCCACCACCAGAUAUGGACCAGGGAGAACAGGAGGCUGGGCAGGGAAAGCUGAGUUAUGGGCAGGCCUCAGUGGUUCUCGUGUGGCCUGGUUUUAUUUUUACUGUGAAAUAUCAUGUUCUAUCUCAAUCCUCAAA